UACGUAGGGUGCAAGCGUUGUCCGGAAUUAUUGGGCGUAAAGAGCUCGUAGGCGGUUUGUUGCGUCGGCUGUGAAAUCCCGAGGCUCAACCUCGGGUCUGCAGUCGAUACGAGCAAACUAGAGUGUUGCAGGGGAGACUGGAAUUCCUGGUGUAGUCGGUGAAAUGCGUAAAUAUCAGGAGGAACACCGGUGGUGUAGACGGCUCACUGGACCAUAACUGACGCUGAGACACG
rnacentral:rRNA from 1 species